UCGAGAAUCUUCGGCAAUGAGCGCAAGCUUGACCGAGCGACGCCGCGUGGAGGAUGAAGGCCUUCGGGUUGUAAACUCCUGUCAGAGGGGAGGAAAGUGAGGUGGGUUCUCCCAUCUCAUUGACCUAGCCUCAGAGGAAGGACGGGCUAAAUUCGUGCCAGCAGCCGCGGUAAUACGAAUCGUCCUAACGUUGUUCGGAUUCACUGGGUUUAAAGGGCGCGUAGGCGGUGCGUUAAGUCGGUGGUGAAAUACUUUGGCUCAACCAGAGAAUUGCCGCUGAAACUGGCGUGCUCGAGGGAGGUAGAGGUGCAUGGAACUUCCGGUGGAGCGGUGAAAUGCGUUGAUAUCGGAAGGAACACCUGUGGCGAAAGCGGUGCACUGGACCUCUUCUGACGCUGAGGCGCGAAAGCCAGGGGAGCGAACGGGAUUAGAUACCCCGGUAGUCCUGGCCAUAAACGAUGGGGACUAGAGAGUAGAUGCUCCGAUGUGUUUACUCUACG
rnacentral:rRNA from 1 species